GUACAUUAUAGCACUUGAUGACACCAUCAGGAGAGAAGAGAGGUCUCCAGCUUGAUGGAAAUGUACAGUUUCCGAGAGAUGAGGGGCAGCAGGGAGAGCGGGGUGGGAGGGUCAGCCCCGCUUGCCUGAGAGGCCAGGUCUGGGGCUGCUGUGGUUCUAUUUUGUGAGUGGUCACCUUAAUUGGGAAAUAGGUGGACAUUGUAUUUAAUCUUCAGGGUGUCAGUAUUCUCUGCUUGUGUCUAGGCUUGCCUCAUUUUUGAAAGGAAGAGAGUGAUGAUUCUGCUGUUUCCAUUCAUUAGUGCGUCAGAGGGGCGAUUUAGUCAUAGCCAUGUGCCCAAAGAGAAGAUUUCUGGAAGAAAAGUGUGCCUAACUUGCAGAUAUAUAUUCAGCAGACUCCAGCCUGGGGCCUUCUGUUCCUUCCUGAGUACCUCAGACCUGUUUCUUCAUCAGUCACAUUUGACCUAAAUCUCU
rnacentral:lncRNA from 10 species